CCUACGGGGUGCUGCAGUGGGGGAUAUUGCACAAUGGGGGGAACCCUGAUGCAGCGACGCCGCGUGGGUGAAGAAGCGCCUCGGCGCGUAAAGCCCUGUCAGCAGGGAAGAAAAUGACGGUACCUGAAGAAGAAGCCCCGGCUAACUACGUGCCAGCAGCCGCGGUAAUACGUAGGGGGCAAGCGUUAUCCGGAUUUACUGGGUGUAAAGGGGGCGCAGACGGCGAGGCAAGCCAGGAGUGAAAGCCCGGGGCCCAACCCCGGGACUGCUCUUGGAACUGCGUGGCUAGAGUGCAGGAGGGGCAGGCGGAAUUCCUGGUGUAGCGGUGAAAUGCGUAGAUAUCAGGAGGAACACCGGUGGCGAAGGCGGCCUGCUGGACUGCAACUGACGUUGAGGCCCGAAAGCGUGGGGAGCAAACAGGAUUAGAUACCCCAGUAGUC
rnacentral:rRNA from 1 species